AAAAAAAAUGGCUUUCAGGUUGGUAAUCAAACAGUGGCAAAUGUGGAAAGAGUUCAAAUUUCAAUAUUUCUUUUACAUACUGUCAGAUGACCAAUAAAUCAAACAAUGCAACUGAUUAAGAGUAAAUUUCACAUCGUACAAUUAUCACAAAGCAUAUUGAGGGAUGCAUGACACAUAGAUGAAAAACUUGAAGAUUAAACAAUAA
rnacentral:misc_RNA from 1 species